AUACGGAGGAUGCGAGCGUUAUCCGGAUUUAUUGGGUUUAAAGGGAGCGUAGGUGGGAUAUUAAGUCAGCUGUGAAAGUUUGGGGCUCAACCUUAAAAUUGCAGUUGAUACUGGUUUCCUUGAGUACGGUACAGGUGGGCGGAAUUCGUGGUGUAGCGGUGAAAUGCUUAGAUAUCACGAAGAACUCCGAUCGCGAAGGCAGCUCACCGGGCCGGAACUGACACUGAUGCUCGAAAGUGCGGGUAUCAAACAGGAUUAGAUACCCUGGUAGUCCGCACAGUAAACGAUGAAUACUCGCUGUUUGCGAUACACGGUAAGCGGCCAAGCGAAAGCGUUAAGUAUUCCACCUGGGGAGUACGCCGGCAACGGUGAAACUCAAAUGAAUCGGCGGGG
rnacentral:rRNA from 1 species